UACGUAGGGUCCGAGCGUUGUCCGGAAUUAUUGGGCGUAAAGGGCUCGUAGGCGGUCUGUCGCGUCUGCUGUGAAAACUCGGGGCUUAACCCCGGGCCUGCAGUGGGUACGGGCAGACUAGAGUGCGGUAGGGGAGACUGGAAUUCCUGGUGUAGCGGUGAAAUGCGCAGAUAUCAGGAGGAACACCGGUGGCGAAGGCGGGUCUCUGGGCCGUAACUGACGCUGAGGAGCGAAAGCAUGGGGAGCGAACAGG
rnacentral:rRNA from 1 species